ensembl:lncRNA
UAAAUUAGUGACACUUUAUUUGUAGUUAAAACCAGAUAUUUUGCCCUUAAACCCCUGAGACAAGAGGUCGGCACAUUUUACUGUUUCCUUUAUUAAAUUACAUAAAAUCAAAGACAAAUUGAGACUUAUAUACAGCAGUCUAAGGUAACAAAGCAUCUUUGUCCUUGUCCUUGUCUCCCUUGUUAGAAUCACCAGUCAGCUUAACAGUUAUGUCACAAUCAUGUCAAUCAGGAGCCAAUGCAGGCACAAGGAGAAGAGGCUCAGUUGAUCAGGAGGACCAAAGUGCUGCUGGUGCUGAGAAACAUCUGGGAAAAAAAUGCAAAAAAAUAUAAAUUUCUUACAACCUACGCCUGUAGAUAUUAUAUCAAAAUUAUACGCCUUUACUGUUUAAUCAUGAAAGUGUCUCCUUUUACAUUUUUCCCCUCUUUUAGAUUUAUUUGCAUGUUUAUUUCAUAAGAUAUUCGUGUAGGAGACGGACAAAAAGCAGAGUCCUACACAACGUCUAACUUGUGAAAAUAAACAGUCGUGUGAAAAAAGUUUCAGAGGACUUUUUGCAGUCCUGUAAAAAGCUAAGUACACCCUUACUGCUUCCAUAGGAAUUAAGAGUAUAAGUAGCUGCUGCGAAUCAAAUGCACUUGAUUAAUUGGUCAACAGGAAGUAUGGACACGAGUCUUUAGGUCUGGAACAUUCACGUAUGUGACAAUGCCACAAUCAAUCAAGGAGUCUUCAAUGCAAUGCUCAGCGAAACUGCAAAAAACCUGCAUCUCAGACUGUACAGGCGUCAGUUAGAAUGUUACAUUUCAUGACAGUACGAUUAGAAAAUGAGUAAGCAGGGGUGGUUUGUUAAAAAGGGUUGCCAGGAGAAAGCUUGAAUUCACUGGAUGCAAAGGUUUGCUUUGGAAAGAUACAACUGAACGAACUACAAGACUUCUGUAAUUAUGUCUUUUAAACAUAGAAGACUAAAAUGGAGAUGUUUGUCUAUAAUGAGCAGUGCCAUGUUUGACCUAACCCAAACCAGAUCAUCAGCUCAAACUCCUUAUAACAACGGCCAAGCACGGUGGUGGAGGGGUGAUGGGUUUGGUUUUGGGGUUUUUUUCGCAACCAUGGGACCUGGAUACCUCACAGUCGACCAUGAACUGCUCUGUAUACCAAAGUAUUCUAGAGUCAAAUGAGACCAUGCGUGUCAGCUAAAGCGUGGCAGAAACUGGGUCAUGCAACAUGACAACGGUGCUAAGUGCAUCAUCAAAUUUACAACAGAAUGGCUAAAAAAAAGAAAGGAAUCAAGGUGUUACUAUGACCCAGACCUCAAACCAACUAAAAUGCUUCAGCAGGAUCUUAAGAGGUUGUUGUUGUUGUUCAGAAGAAAGAUGGCCAGUGGAAAAAACAAACAAACAAAAACUAACCCUUCAUAUUAAAUUUAAUAGGAUCUCACUCAGUUCCAGUACCAUUAAAACCUGUAAAAAGCCUCCCAAAUAUAUUAAACAACUUUUAAAAAAAAACAACAACUAUAUGGAUAAAAAACCAAUAUGGAUCGAGUGUAAUAUCUUGUAUGAUAAAAAUGCUGAGGAUGCCAGUUUCAUACGAUAGUAUAAGGAAUGUACAUUGUAUGCGACAUAUAAUACAUAAAUAUUUACUACAUUUCUUUUCUGUAUGGGCGAUUUCAUUUCUUUUUUCCACCUUUUCCGCCUCCGUUGUGUUUGUUACGUUGCAGAUACAGCACACAAUCAAACAUUUCUGACUGUGCAUACUGAUUGUUUGACUAAUCUGGAGGUUUGUUUAAGACCCGUCUGAUUGUUUUGACUGCUCCAGUUUCUCCUGCUGUCAGACUUUGCUGCAGCGAUAUCAGUGUAUUUUCCCCCCUACGUGUCCACACGCACUUUCAAAACUAAGGCGGCACAAUAACAAUUCAUGAUGAUAGUCAGAUCUAUAAAAAUAAAUCUGCACUUCAAAGGUUUGCAGUCAUAAUGAUGAGUUAAAAAAAAAACCUGUCACCUUUACUUAUACCAUGACUGCUUUGGUGAAUGUGGGGCUGACACUGGAAAUGCCCGUAAGAUUGCAGUGGGAACACUGUCAGAUGGAAAGUUAAGGGCUGCCAUAUGUGAACAGGUACAGCAAAUGCUAAUUUAAUCCUCCAGUGAUUCAAAAACAAAAAAACACAAGAGCAUGCAGCAUAGAGUUACUGGUAUAGGAAGAAAAGCAUUACAUAUUAGUCCAGACCUGUACGACAGCCAAGCUUCUGUAAUGAAAUGACUCGGUUAUGUAAAUCAGAGAUGACAGGAGGCUUUUUAAGAGUGUAGCUAAAUAUAAUGCAUCUAAUGUUUUCUUUACAUCUGCAGAAUACACACUGCACGACAUAAAUUACUACUUUACAGUCCAUUUAUCAUAGAAUGUAUCUCUUUGUAUGUGAAGUGAGCAAUAUUGGUUCAGUGCUGCUCUAAAUUAUUGCCUCAUUUAUUAUUGACCAG